rnacentral:snRNA from 1 species
GAGUGUUAGAGCUCUUUUAAAAUUUGUCUAGCUGGUUUUCUCUGGAAGACACCCCC